rnacentral:rRNA from 1 species
GAUGAACGCUGGCGGCGUGCCUAAUACAUGCAAGUCGAGCGAACAGACGAGGAGCUUGCUCCUCUGACGUUAGCGGCGGACGGGUGAGUAACACGUGGAUAACCUACCUAUAAGACUGGGAUAACUUCGGGAAACCGGAGCUAAUGCCGGAUAAUAUAUUGAACCGCAUGGUUCAAUAGUGAAAGACGGUUUUGCUGUCACUUAUAGAUGGAUCCGCGCCGCAUUAGCUAGUUGGUAAGGUAACGGCUUACCAAGGCAACGAUGCGUAGCCGACCUGAGAGGGUGAUCGGCCACACUGGAACUGAGACACGGUCCAGACUCCUACGGGAGGCAGCAGUAGGGAAUCUUCCGCAGUGGGCGAAAGCUUGACGGAGCAACGCCGCGUGAGUGAUGAAGGUCUUCGGAUCGUAAAACUCUGUUAUUAGGGAAGAACAAAUGUGUAAGUAACUAUGCACGUCUUGACGGUACCUAAUCAGAAAGCCACGGCUAACUACGUG